AGGUACAUAGUAACUAGAUGAAUGAAGGUUGCUUACUCUACUUUGAACGCCAUUGUUUCUCCCAUUAUGAGCUCUAGGAGGUUCACAAGUUUGUCUAAGAUAUGCUUCAUUUCUAGAAUAUCUAUUUCUAGGUGGAGGGUCAUUUCUUGGUCUUCUAAAUUGUUCAAGGUUUGGCCUAAAAUAUGCAUCAUUUCUAGGUCUUCUANNN
rnacentral:lncRNA from 1 species